ensembl:misc_RNA
CCCUUUGGACUUAGGGUUGGUGCUAACCUCUUCUGUGAGCUCACUUUGCCCCUCCUCCUCCCUUUAACUUUCUCCAUUCACUUAAAUCCUUGCCCUGGU